rfam:Daucus carota subsp. sativus cultivar DH1 chromosome 5, whole genome shotgun sequence.
AUAUGUGGAUGAUGAGAUAAAAAUAAAUCACAGUUAUCCCUGUCUGAGUUAUAUUCUGCUGAAACUUUGUGAUCUGACACAUAU